AGUGAAGCGGCAACAGCUCAAAUUUGAAAUCUGGCCCCCUCGGGGUCCGAGUUGUAAUUUGUAGAGGGUGUUUCGGGCGCGAUGCCGGUCUAAGUUCCUUGGAACAGGACGUCGUAGAGGGUGAGAAUCCCGUAUGCGACCGGCGAUCAAGCCCGUGCGAAGCCCCUUCGACGAGUCGAGUUGUUUGGGAAUGCAGCUCAAAAUGGGUGGUAAAUUUCAUCUAAAGCUAAAUAUUGGCCAGAGACCGAUAGCGGACAAGUAGAGUGAUCGAAAGAUGAAAAGCACUUUGGAAAGAGAGUCAAACAGUACGUGAAAUUGUUGAAAGGGAAGCGCUUACAAUCAGACCGGUCCGGAGGCGAUCAGCCGCUGCUCGUCAGCGGUGCACUCGCCUGCGAUCCGGCCAGCAUCGGUUUGGGCGGCGGGAUAAAAGUCCCGGGAAUGUAGCUUCCUCCGGGGAGUCUUAUAGCCCGGGUCGCAAUGCCGCCCGCCCGGACCGAGGACCGCGCUUCGGCUAGGAUGCUGGCGUAAUGGUUGCAAGCG
rnacentral:rRNA from 1 species